rnacentral:rRNA from 1 species
UACGGAGGAGGCAAGCGUUAUCCGGAAUUAUUGGGCGUAAAGCGUCCGUAGGUGGCUCUUCAAGUCUGCUGUCAAAGAGUGGGGCUUAACCCUGCAAAGGCAGUGGAAACUGAAAGGCUAGAGAGCCGUGGGGGUAGAGGGAAUUCCCGGUGUAGCGGUGAAAUGCGUAGAGAUCGGGAAGAACAUCGGUGGCGAAAGCGCUCUACUGGACGGUAUCUGACACUGAGGGACGAAAGCUAGGGGAGCGAAUGGG